AUUGAACGCUGGCGGCAGGCCUAACACAUGCAAGUCGAGCGGAUGAAGGGAGCUUGCUCCUGGAUUCAGCGGCGGACGGGUGAGUAAUGCCUAGGAAUCUGCCUGGUAGUGGGGGAUAACGUCCGGAAACGGGCGCUAAUACCGCAUACGUCCUGAGGGAGCAAGUGGGGGAUCUUCGGACCUCACGCUAUCAGAUGAGCCUAGGUCGGAUUAGCUAGUUGGUGGGGUAAAGGCCUACCAAGCCGACGAUCCGUAACUGGUCUGAGAGGAUGAUCAGUCACACUGGAACUGAGACACGGUCCAGACUCCUACGGGAGGCAGCAGUGGGGAAUAUUGGACAAUGGGCGAAAGCCUGAUCCAGCCAUGCCGCGUGUGUGAAGAAGGUCUUCGGAUUGUAAAGCACGUUAAGUGGGGAGGAAGGGCAGUAAGUUAAGACCUUGCUGGUUUGACGUUACCAACAGAAUAAGCACCGGCUAACUUCGUG
rnacentral:rRNA from 1 species